AGCCCUUUCCCCUGCUCCACCAAGGAAAGGCCGCAGAUACCACAGCAGGGCUGCUGGCCUGGGAAACUGAUGGCCUACGAAGCAAGACUGCCUGCCGCUGGUGGCCCUUCCCAGCUUAGAUCGUUAGCUUUCACCGCACAAUAAGCCACUUGUCUCCAGUUUUCCAAACCUUCAUCUCAGGCUCCAGAGAGGGGCUGGACAAGCCAAAUCAGCUUGAGAAGCUUUAGCUUUGGGCGCUGGGGAAGAGGCCUGGAAAGAACAAGUGGCCCUUGAGUCAACGAGAGGGUCCUUGGAGGUCUUCUCUGGACAAGCACUGCAGCCCCCGCCCUGAGGGAUGGAACUGGGCAUCUGUCACUGACCCAAACGAACACUCCCUAGGAACCGACCGGUCCCCCUCUCCGCUACCCACAGCCACCCCUCUAGGAGCAGCCUCCUGCAUUCCUCCAGGACCCAAAGCCUUCAUCGCCGGCGUUUCCUAUUUCCUCCUCCCGGGGACCGGGUAGAUGUGAUUCUAAAACCAAUCGCCCGGAGAGGGAUCCGAAUGCUGCCUGGGAGGUGGCGGGGGUGGGGAUGUCCUGGAGCUCCUCAUUUGAAGCCUCAGACUGUCUGUUUGGGGGUCCUACCAAUUCCAUCUGCUGCUAAAACCGCUUCUAGAAGUCCCAAGGGCCGCAUGGGAGGUCCCGAGGGGCCCGGCCUCUCCCUCCCAGGGUUCGCUCGCCAUCUCCGGGAUGGGGGGGUCUCCACCCGACUUCAGCCGCCUCACUCACCAUGGCGAGGCACCGGUAUCCGGAGCUCGGGGAUCGAGGUUACUCUGGCGGCGGCAGCAGCUGCAGCAGCUCGAGCUCCGCCGCGCGUCCGCGCCUCCACACUCUUUGCCCGCAGCGCGCGCCACCGCCGCCGCCGCCCGCCCCAACGGUCCCUCAACGGCCGCCGCGCGCGCCCCGCCUCGCCCGGCCCCGCCCCAGACGGCUCGCGCGCUCCCGCUGCACUGCGGCUUCCUACGGAUCCCUUCGCGUCAGGCUCGUGCGGCUCGCCCCUUCCACAGAGCCCAGCGAAUCUGCUGCCGCACGGGCACGCGCACGCGCGUUCCCCACCGCGGGGACUACUUUCGCUCUCGGCGCUCUCGGCCCCUUGCAUCCGCUCCGCUUUCCUCUCUGGCGGAAGGGCACCGGUUUACGGAGAGUGACACGUCUCUGUGUGAGCCACGCCGCUAUUGGACCCGCCUCGUGGCGGAAAUGAGAACGCAACUCCGAUUGGUCCGGCCUUCCCUGCAAUGCGUCAAACUGGGGCGAGCCACCGCGCGGUGUGCGGGGGGCAGCACGACCUGUGUGGCUCUGUGGAGCCGCGAGGAAUAGAGGGGCUAAGACGGAAACAGGGUGGAUGUUGGAGAAGCAAAUACGUUGUCUCUAUGGCUCGGAAAUAAAAAUGGGUUGGGGGAAGAAGCA